UACGAAGGGGGCUAGCGUUGUUCGGAAUCACUGGGCGUAAAGCGCACGUAGGCGGCUUUUUAAGUCAGAGGUGAAAUCCUGGAGCUCAACUCCAGAACUGCCUUUGAUACUGGAGAGCUUGAGUCCGGGAGAGGUGAGUGGAACUGCGAGUGUAGAGGUGAAAUUCGUAGAUAUUCGCAAGAACACCAGUGGCGAAGGCGGCUCACUGGCCCGGUACUGACGCUGAGGUGCGAAAGCGUGGGGAGCAAACAGG
rnacentral:rRNA from 1 species